UUAAAGAAUAUGCUUUGCUGUAAAUACGGACAGACAGUAAUAUGUGUAGAUUUUAGGUGGGCAACUAUGAGUUAAUUGGUGCCCAUGAAGGACUUACACACAUGG